ACUCAAAGGAAUUGACGGGGGCCCGCACAAGCGGUGGAUCAUGUGGUUUAAUUCGAAGCAACGCGAAGAACCUUACCUGGGUUUGACAUCCUUUGAAUACAAUAGAGAUAUUGUCGGCUCGCAAGAGACAAAGAGACAGGUGCUGCAUGGCUGUCGUCAGCUCGUGUUGUGAAAUGUUGGGUUAAGUCCCGCAACGAGCGCAACCCCUGUCUUUGGUUGCCAUCAUUAAGUUGGGCACUCCAGAGAGACUGCCGUCGUCAAGACGGAGGAAGGUGGGGAUGACGUCAAGUCCUCAUGGCCUUUAUAUCCAGGGCGACACACGUGAUACAAUGGUAGGUACAAAGGGCAGCCAAGUGGUGACACGGAGCAAAUCCCAAAAAGCCUAUCUCAGUUCGGAUUGGAGUCUGCAACUCGACUCCAUGAAGUUGGAAUCGCUAGUAAUCGCGGAUCAGCACGCCGCGGUGAAUACGUUCCCGGGCCUUGUACACACCGCCCGU
rnacentral:rRNA from 1 species